GCAUGCCGCAGCUACCAUGCAGUCGAGCGGUAGCACAGAGAGCUUGCUCUCGGGUGACGAGCGGCGGACGGGUGAGUAAUGUCUGGGAAACUGCCUGAUGGAGGGGGAUAACUACUGGAAACGGUAGCUAAUACCGCAUAACGUCGCAAGACCAAAGUGGGGGACCUUCGGGCCUCAUGCCAUCAGAUGUGCCCAGAUGGGAUUAGCUAGUAGGUGGGGUAACGGCUCACCUAGGCGACGAUCCCUAGCUGGUCUGAGAGGAUGACCAGCCACACUGGAACUGAGACACGGUCCAGACUCCUACGGGAGGCAGCAGUGGGGAAUAUUGCACAAUGGGCGCAAGCCUGAUGCAGCCAUGCCGCGUGUAUGAAGAAGGCCUUCGGGUUGUAAAGUACUUUCAGCGGGGAGGAAGGCGAUAAGGUUAAUAACCUUGUCGAUUGACGUUACCCGCAGAAGAAGCACCGGCUAACUCCGUGCCAGCAGCCGCGGUAAUACGGAGGGUGCAAGCGUUAAUCGGAAUUACUGGGCGUAAAGCGCACGCAGGCGGUCUGUCAAGUCGGAUGUGAAAUCCCCGGGCUCAACCUGGGAACUGCAUUCGAAACUGGCAGGCUAGAGUCUUGUAGAGGGGGGUAGAAUUCCAGGUGUAGCGGUGAAAUGCGUAGAGAUCUGGAGGAAUACCGGUGGCGAAGGCGGCCCCCUGGACAAAGACUGACGCUCAGGUGCGAAAGCGUGGGGAGCAAACAGGAUUAGAUACCCUGGUAGUCCACGCCGUAAACGAUGUCGAUUUGGAGGUUGUGCCCUUGAGGCGUGGCUUCCGGAGCUAACGCGUUAAAUCGACCGCCUGGGGAGUACGGCCGCAAGGUUAAAACUCAAAUGAAUUGACGGGGGCCCGCACAAGCGGUGGAGCAUGUGGUUUAAUUCGAUGCAACGCGAAGAACCUUACCUGGUCUUGACAUCCACAGAACUUGCCAGAGAUGGCUUGGUGCCUUCGGGAACUGUGAGACAGGUGCUGCAUGGCUGUCGUCAGCUCGUGUUGUGAAAUGUUGGGUUAAGUCCCGCAACGAGCGCAACCCUUAUCCCUUUGUUGCCAGCGGUUCGGCCGGGACUCAAGGAGACUGCCAGUGAUAAACUGGGAGAAGGUGGGGAUGACGUCAGUUCAUCAUGCCCUAACGAACAAGGCUAACCCACCGUGCUACAAUGGCCCAUAUACAAAGAG
rnacentral:rRNA from 1 species